UACGUAGGGUGCGAGCGUUUGUCCGGAAUUAUUAGGGCGUGAAAGAGCUUGUAGGUGGUUUGUCGCGUCUGCUGUGAAAAUCCGAGGCUCAACCUCGGACUUGCAGUGGGUACGGGCAGACUAGAGUGUGGUAGGGAGACUGGAAUUCCGUGGUGUAGCGGUGGAAUGCGCAGAUAUCAGGAGGAACACCGAGUGGCGAAGGCAGGUCUCUGGCCAUUACUGACACUGGAGAAGCGAAAGCAUGGGGAGCGAACAGG
rnacentral:rRNA from 1 species